rnacentral:sRNA from 1 species
GCCAGGUGUCCUGGUGCACACCUGUAAUCCUAGCAACUUGGGAGACUGAGGCAGGAGUAUGGCAGUUUAAGGCCGGCCUCAGCAAUUUAGAUCCUGUCUCAA